rnacentral:rRNA from 1 species
GAUGAACGCUGGCGGCGUGCCUAAUACAUGCAAGUCGAGCGAACAGAUAAGGAGCUUGCUCCUUUGACGUUAGCGGCGGACGGGUGAGUAACACGUGGGUAACCUACCUAUAAGACUGGGAUAACUUCGGGAAACCGGAGCUAAUACCGGAUAACAUUUGGAACCGCAUGGUUCUAAAGUGAAAGAUGGUUUUGCUAUCACUUAUAGAUGGACCCGCGCCGUAUUAGCUAGUUGGUAAGGUAACGGCUUACCAAGGCGACGAUACGUAGCCGACCUGAGAGGGUGGUCAGGGACGAUGGAACGGAGAGACGGAGGAGACUACUAAGGGAGGCAGCAGUGGGGACGAUUGGACAAUGGGUGGAAGCUAGAAGAAGUAAGAGAGAGGGGGUGAAGAAGGCUUUCGGUGUGUAAAGACGUGUUGGUGGGAAAGAAAAAAAGAAGGGUAAGAAGCAGCGGGAUCGACGGUACAGAAAGAAGAAGCAACGGCUAGCGACGUG